AACACCUCAAAUCCUUCAAUUUGUUUGAAGGCUUUGGACUUGAGCAAUCCCAACACCAGUCUUUACGAUCGGUGGAGGGUUGCUUGAAAUGCAGGUGCAGCUGGACAUUCUCCUGAGCUAUAAGCAUAUUUAUUUAGUCCCGUCAAACGGAUUAUUACUUUUGCUGCAGCUAACAUAAAGGGAGUCUGACCAUAUUGGCUGACUGAUGCAGGAUUUCACAAGGGUCGGCAACGAUUCUUGUAAA
rnacentral:misc_RNA from 1 species